rnacentral:rRNA from 1 species
UACGUAGGGUGCAAGCGUUGUCCGGCAUUAUUGGGCGUAAAGAGCUCGUAGGCGGUUUGUCGCGUCUGCUGUGAAAGCCCGGGGCUCAACCUCGGGCCUGCGGUGGGUACGGGCAGACUAGAGUGCGGUAGGGGAGAUUGGAAUUCCUGGUGUAGCGGUGGAAUGCGCAGAUAUCAGGAGGAACACCAAUGGCGAAGGCAGAUCUCUGGGCAGUAACUGACGCUGAGGAGCGAAAGCAUGGGGAGCGAACAGG